GCAUCGGCUAACUCCGUGCCAGCAGCCGCGGUAAUACGGAGGAUGCGAGCGUUAUCCGGAUUUAUUGGGUUUAAAGGGUGCGUAGGCGGUCGAUUAAGUUAGUGGUAAAAUGUCAUGGCUAAACCUUGGCCUGCCAUUAAUACUGGUCGACUCGAGUACAGACGAGGUAGGCGGAAUAAGUUAAGUAGCGGUGAAAUGCUUAGAUAUAACUUAGAACUCCGAUAGCGAAGGCAGCUUACCAGACUGUGACUGACGCUCAAGCACGAGAGCGUGGGUAGCGAACAGGAUUAGAUACCCUGGUAGUCCACGCCGUAAACGAUGCUCACUGGUUCUGUGCGACACAUUGUACGGGAUCAAGCGAAAGUAUUAAGUGAGCCACCUGGGGAGUACGCCGGCAACGGUGAAACUCAAAGGAAUUGACGGGGGCCCGCACAAGCGGAGGAACAUGUGGUUUAAUUCGAUGAUACGCGAGGAACCUUACCUGGGUUUAAAUGGAGAUGGACAUGGGCGGAAACGCCUAUUCUCUUCGGAGCUAUUUUCAAGGUGCUGCAUGGUUGUCGUCAGCUCGUGCCGUGAGGUGUCGGGUUAAGUCCCAUAACGAGCGCAACCCUUACCGUCAGUUGCCAUCAGUCCGGCUGGGCACUCUGACGGGACUGCCACCGUAAGGUGAGAGGAAGGCGGGGAUGACGUCAAAUCAGCACGGCCCUUACACCCAGGGCUACACACGUGUUACAAUGGCCGGUACAGAGGGCCGCUACCCAGCGAUGGGGUGCGAAUCUCAAAAGCCGGUCGUAGUUCGGAUUGGAGUCUGUAACCCGACUCCAUGAAGUUGGAUUCGCUAGUAAUCGCGCAUCAGCCAUGGCGCGGUGAAUACGUUCCCGGGCCUUGUACACACCGCCCGUCAAGCCAUGGA
rnacentral:rRNA from 1 species